rnacentral:lncRNA from 1 species
GGUACUGUAGCAAACUUAAAUUCUACUUGUGCUGAUGUUGGGUUACUGUACUUUCAAUCUUCCAUGGCUAAUACCCCCCGAUACUAUUCAUAGUUUCAUCAAAAUAAGCAACCAACACAACAAAAACAGAAUAUGUUAACAACAGACUAGUAUGUAGCAAUCUGUAUAUUUCGUAUACCUCUGGUACUUCAGCAAUUCUGAAAAAUUAUGAAAGCCUGAAGAAUUUGCGUAGAAAUCAACAGCAAAAAGA